rnacentral:rRNA from 1 species
UUGACAUCCAGCGAAUUCGGUAGAGAUACCUUUAGUGCCUUCGGGAACGCUGAGACAGGUGCUGCAUGGCUGUCGUCAGCUCGUGUUGUGAAAUGUUGGGUUAAGUCCCGCAACGAGCGCAACCCUUAUCCUUUGUUGCCAGCGGUCCGGCCGGGAACUCAAAGGAGACUGCCAGUGAUAAACUGGAGGAAGGUGGGGAUGACGUCAAGUCAUCAUGGCCCUUACGAGUAGGGCUACACACGUGCUACAAUGGCGCAUACAAAGAGAAGCGACCUCGCGAGAGCAAGCGGACCUCAUAAAGUGCGUCGUAGUCCGGAUUGGAGUCUGCAACUCGACUCCAUGAAGUCGGAAUCGCUAGUAAUCGUAGAUCAGAAUGCUACGGUGAAUACGUUCCCGGGCCUUGUACACACCGCCCGUCACACCAUGGGAGUGGGUUGCAAAAGAAGUAGGUAGCUUAACCUUCGGGAGGGCGCUUACCACUUUGUGAUUCAUGACUGGGGUGAAGUCGUAACAAGGUAGGCGUACGUGU